rnacentral:lncRNA from 1 species
ACAGGUAACAGCACAGCUGGGCCAGGGACAGCACAGCUGGGACAGGUAACACACCUGGGACAGGUAACAGCACACCUGGGACAGGAACAGACACACCUGGGUCAGGGACAGACACACCUGCACAGGUAACAGCACACCUGGGUCAGGUAACAGCACACCUAGGACAGGGACAGCACACCUGGGUCAGGGACAGACACACCUGGGUCAGGUAACAGCACACCUGCACAGGUAACAGCACACCUGGGACAGGAACAGCACAGCUGGGUCAGGGACAGACACACCUGGGUCAGGUAACAGCACACCUGCACAGGUAACAGCACACCUGGGACAGGAACAGCACAGCUGGGUCAGGGACAGACACACCUGGGUCAGGUAACAGCACACCUGCACAGGUAACAGCACACCUGGGACAGGAACAGCACAGCUGGGUCAGGGACAGACACACCUGGGUCAGGUAACAGCACACCUGCACAGGUAACAGCACACCUGGGACAGGAACAGCACAGCUGGGUCAGGGACAGACACACCUGGGUCAGGUAACAGCACACCUGCACAGGUAACAGCACACCUGGGACAGGAACAGCACAGCUGGGUCAGGGACAGACACACCUGGGUCAGGUAACAGCACACCUGCACAGGUAACAGCACACCUGGGACAGGAACAGCACAGCUGGGUCAGGGACAGACACACCUGGGUCAGGUAACAGCACACCUGCACAGGUAACAGCACACCUGGGACAGGAACAGCACAGCUGGGUCAGGGACAGACACACCUGGGACAGGGACUGACAUACCUGGGACACCUGGGGGAGAGUGACACACCUGGGUCAGGGAUAGGUAACACACCUGGGAGCUCUCACCUCCCUGCCAGGGCUCUGCCAGCACCACCUGUCCAUAGGAGCCGCUGCCCAGAUGUGCCCAGGUGUGCCCAGGUGUGUCUCUGGACGUCCCCAGGUGUGUCUCUGGACGUCCCCAGGUGUGUCUCUGGAUGUCCCCAGGUGUCCCCAGGUGUGCCCAGGUGUGCCCAGGUGGGGGGGGGGGGGGGGGGGGGGGGGGGGGGGGGGGGGGGGGGGGGGGGGGGGGGGGGGGGGGGGGGGGGGGGGGGGGGGGGGGGGGGGGG